CAGUAGCCGCGGUAACACAGAGGGUGCGAGCGUUAAUCGGAUUUACUGGGCGUAAAGCGUGCGUAGGCGGCUUUUUAAGUCGGAUGUGAAAUCCCUGAGCUUAACUUAGGAAUUGCAUUCGAUACUGGGAAGCUAGAGUAUGGGAAAGGAUGGUAGAAUUCCAGGUGUAGCGGUGAAAUGCGUAGAGAUCUGGAGGAAUACCGAUGGCGAAGGCAGCCAUCUGGCCUAAUACUGACGCUGAGGUACGAAAGCAUGGGGAGCAAACAGGAUUAGAUACCCCUGUAGUCCCUGUCUCUUAUAC
rnacentral:rRNA from 1 species